GGAAUAAUUUAAUUGGUAAAAUGAAUUCCUUGUAAGACUUUGAUAUUGGUUCAAUUCCAAUUCAGUCCA